UAAAUGUUAGCUAUAAAAUAUAAACAAAAUUCAAAUAAAAAUCAUAUACUAACUAAAAGAAUAAAUUAACUUACGUUCGUAUAAAAUCUAAAAACAGAUCGAUUUCCUUUAGAGAUUGACUGAGAUUAUGUAAAGCUAAUAAAAGUCCACGUAGAGCGUCCAUCUCAUCAGUAAAAAUUUGAUCUUGAAAACCAUCACGAAGAUGAUUUCCCUCAACUCCACUAACAAAGGCUCUAUCCCACUUGUUACCAAGUUGUAGUCUCUUUUGUUACCAAGUUGUAGUCUCUUAAGUUCUCAUGAUACAUAUUUUUCCCUUCAUGUAAUAUUGCGAGAGCUUGUAAAAAUUGCUUUAGAUAAAGCUUGAAUUUGUCCCAAUCCUCGACCCAGACAUUAGCUAAGUCGUUGUCAUAAUGCUGGUAAAUAAAAACCCAUGUCUCCCCUCGCGAAAAUAAACAAGCCCUUGUAAAAAAUGUUUGGAUGAGAGUCUAAAAAAAUUAUCAAAACACCGUAUUUGUCUCUGAACUUCUUUUCUGUGAUUAUUUGAUACUUCUAAAACUUUAACUUUUCUUCCAGUAGUGCCCAAUAUUACAUCUGAAAUAAUAAUGCGACCCUCUUCUACUCUUUUAACUUCAUCCUUGUUAGUAUACAAUUGAUGGUUUUUCAUUGAUACUAAUAAUCCUAGUUGAAGCAAGUGCAGCGUUAGUAACAAACUCAUACCAGUGAUUAUUUUCAGCAGCAAAAAUACUAGUUCAGUGAUAUUUUCAAUAACAAAAUUAAAAUGUAGUCAUGUAUUACAGCAACAAAAUUGAGAAAGAAAGAAUAGGGGAAUUUGUUGGAACUCACCAAAUCGGGGACCAACUUUUGGUUGCGUGAAGGAAGCUAAUGAUGAGACUCGGAGUAAGGAGACGACAAAGACGACCAAUCCCGGAACCUACUGAUUACUAUCCUUUUAGUGAGGUUACCUUGGCCUUGAUUACUAUGCUUCCUGCAGCUCCAAAUCUUCCUCCAGAAUCUCCUCCUUUGCCACCCCGUCACCAAAAGCUGCUGCAACUGUGAUGGGUUUUAUUGCUUGUUUACAUCGACUACUUGCAUCAAGAAGUGCCGUCUUUUCCAGCAGCAGUUGGAAGGAUAAUGGGUUUACUUAGAAAUGGUUCAGAGGGUGUUGCUUCUGAGGCUGCCGGGCUUGUUGCAGCAGUCAUUGUGGUGGGCCUGGUGAUGCUAAUGUGAUGGAUUCUAAAGAAGAGUGUCACGCAACAAUUAUGCAUACGAAGUCAGUAUUGUUUGCUAAUUAGAGUUAUGUCAUUAUUCUUGUCAACAGAUUGAAGCCUACGUCAGUAUCACCUUUGCUGUCAAUGGCUGUGGUUGAAGUGCUCGAGGCUAUGAUUUGUGAUCCACAUGGGGAAACUACUCAAUAUAAUGUUUUUGUUUAGUUGUUGCGCCAAGUUGUUGGGUUAAAGCGUCGUUUGUUUGCACUAUUUGGUCAUCUUACUGAAAGUGUUAGAGAGACAGUAGCUGUUAUUAUGCGAUCAAUUGCUGAAGAUGCUAUUGCUGUGGAGUCCAUGCGAGAGGCUUCUGUGCGUGAUGGUGCUUUGUUGAGGCAUUUAUUGCACUCUUUUUUCCUUCUUGCCGGUGAACGCUGUGAAGUUAGUCGACAACUUGUUGCUCUUUGGGCGAAUUCCUAUCAACCCGCUUUGGAGCUAUUGUCUUGAAUUCUGCCUCCCGGACUUGUUGCUUAUUUGCAUACACGCUCUGAUGGAGUUCAACGUGAAGAAUCAAAUCAAGAGUAGUCAUCAACCGGGAGAAGAAAACGACGCUUACUUCAGCAGAGGAAAUGUCGCAUUGGGAGAGGACUACAAGUGCAAGGGCAAUGGCAAUUGUAUAUGAGCAGCACUACAAGACUGUUGGUCCUUUUUCAGGCACAGCUCACAUUACUGUUCUCCUGGAUAGGACAUGAUGACAGAUCUCUGAGACUCAGACCUCUUUUUCUUUUGAAGGCUUUGAUGAAGGAUUUAGCUAAUGUAGAGGCUUAUGUUCUAGUUGGAGCCUGUGUAUUAGCUGUCAAUCUUCUUACAGUGGUCCAUGAAGCUUUGGAGAGGACAGCUAUUCCUUUGCAAUCAAAUUUGAUUGCAGCUACGGCUUUUAUGGAGCCACUCAAGGAAUGGAUGUAUAUUGACAAAGAAGGUGCUCAAAUUGGACCUGUGGAAAAAAGAUGCUAUUAGAAGGUUAUGGUCCAAGAAGGCUAUUGAUUGGACAACAAGGUGUUGGGCCUCUGGGAUGCUAGAUUGGAAGAAGUUGCGUGAUAUUCGUGAGCUUCGCUGGGCACUUGCCCUUAGAGUUCCUGUCCUUACCCCACCUCAGAUGAUGCUGGAGAAAUUGUUACUCCAACUCCUGGAGUAAAACGAAUCUUGUCAAGUCCAUGUUGCCUUCCUCACAUUGCACAGGCCAUUCUCUCUGGGGAACCAAGUAUUGUUGAGGCAGCUGCUGCAUUGUUGAAGGCUAUUGUUACCAGGGAUCCCAAGGCCAUGAUACGUCUAUACAGCACCAGUGCAUUUUAUUUUGCACUGGCCUAUCCAGGAUCUAAUCUACUUUCAAUUGGGCAACUCUUUACCGUCACCCUUGUCCACCAAGGAUUUCAUGGUGGCGUAGAGGCUGCGGUUUCAGCUUCAUUGCCUUUGGCAAAACGCACUGUUCUUGGUGGACUUCUUCCUGAAUCUUUGUUGUUUGUAUUGAAGCGCAGUGGUCCAGCAGCACUUGCUGCUGCAAUGGUAUCAGAUUCUGACACUCCUGAGAUAAUAUGGACUCAUAAAAUGAGGGCAGAAAAUUUAAUACGUCAGGUUUUGCAACACCUUGGUGAUUUUCCACAGAAAUUGUCACAGUAUUGCCAUGUUUUGUAUGACUAUGCCCCAAUGCCUCCAGUUACAUACCCUGAACUUAGAGAUGAAAUGUGGUGUCAUCAUUAUUACUAGAGGAAUCUGUGUGAUGAAAUCCGCUUUCCAAAUUGGCCUAUUGUUGAGCAGCUUGCAAGAUCCUUGAAAUAUCCUUGGAUGAUGUAUCCAGUGAUGAUGUAAAUAAAAAGCACUAUUCGGAGGUAUCAGAUGAAACAUCUAGCUAAUCAAAGCAAAUUGAAAAUAUCGACUAGGAAAAGUUAAAGCGACGAUAUCAAAAGCUUGCUAUGAAAUAUCAUCCUGUCAAAAACCCUGAAGGAAGGGAGAAGUUUCUUGCUAUACAGAAGGCUUAUGAACGCCUCCAGGCUACCAUGUAAGGAUUGCAAGGUCCUCAGCCUUGGAGAUUGCUUCUUUUGCUGAAGGGGACAAUGCAUUUUAUACAGAAGAUAUAGAGACAUAUUGUAGCUAUUCAAAUAUGCUGGCUAUCCCAUGUUGUUAAGUGCUGUUACUGUGGACAAGGAUGAUAAGAAUUUUCUUUCUUUCAGAUGGAGCACCUCUCAUUGUUGCAGCAUCAGAGCUUGUUUGCCUGGCGUAAAAUUCCAUUCUAGCUCAUGCUGCUCGUUGACUUUUAUUGUGGCCAGAUGUGCAUCUUCAUUGAAUGGAGAAGAGCUGGUGAGAGAUGGAGGAGUGCAACUUCUUGCAACUCUUGUUUUCCGUUGCAUGUAUGUUGUUCAACCAUCUACUCCUGGAAAUGAACCACAAACAUCAUGCGAACAUUUUCAGUUCUUAGUCAAUUUGAGGCUGCCGGAUCUGAAAUACUGGAGUUUUCUGGGCUAGUUCCAGACAUUGUGCAUGGCACUGAGUUUGAGCUUCUACCAGGAGCUGUUGAUGCUGCUCUACAGUCUAUUGCCAAUGUUUCUGUUUCAUCUGAGUUGCAGGAUGAUUUAUUGAGGGCUGGUGUUUUUAUGGUAUGUCAAUUAUUUUUUUUUGUGGAUAAAAUGCUUGGUAUUUCUCUCUCAACUAUCGGUAUGCAGGAGGAUGUCCCAUGUGAGUUUAGGGCUUAAUUAGCAAACUUGGUGUUUAUAUGUGCCUGUGUCGCCAAAUAGCUAAAGUAUUUAGUCAGUAAGAUGAGCUUUACCAUUACAUGAAAAUUUACUGUGUAUGAAAGUAACUCUGUAAACAGAUAUCUACUAAGCUCUCUAGAUUUUGCAAAGGCUUAAUUUUCAAAGCUUACUAUAUAUUACUUAUGAAA